rnacentral:rRNA from 1 species
GACGAACGCUGGCGGCGUGCCUAAUACAUGCAAGUCGAACGCUUCUUUCCUCCCGAGUUCUUGCACUCAAUUGGAAAGAGGAGUGGCGGACGGUUGAGUAACACGUCGGUAACCUACCCAUCAGAGGGGGAUGACACUUGGAAACAGGUGCUAAUACCGCAUAACAGUUUAUGCCGCAUGGCAUAAGAGUGAAAGGUGCUUUCGGGCGUCGCUUAUGGGUGGACCCGCGGUGCAUUAGCUAGUUGGUGAGUUAACGGUUCGCCAAGGCCACGGUGCAUAGCCGACCCGAGAGGGUGAUAGGCCACACUGGGACUGAGACACGGCCCAGACUCCUACGGGAGGCAGCAGUAGGGAAUCUUCGGCAAUGGACGAAAGUCUGACCGAGCAACGCCGCGUGAGUGAAGAAGGUUUUCGGAUCGUAAAACGCUGUUGUUAGAGAAGAACAAAGACGUUAGUAACUGAACGUCCCCUGACGGUAUCUAACCAGAAAGCCACGGCUAACUACGUG